rnacentral:misc_RNA from 1 species
UAUGAUGUAGUUAUAAGAUUGCAAAAAAAUAUUACACCGAAGACUGUCUUGAUUUUUCAGAAAUUUCAAAAACUUUAUAUAUACCACUACAAAAUAGUCCCCAAUAUUGAAUUUGUAUUUUUAACUUUGAUGACAUUGCAAUCCCCAUAUUAACAGGUUUUUAAGACGAGAGACCAUGGGAUUCAGAUAGUAUAAUGUAUCGAAAUUACAAUAAAACACAGUAUGCAUGCAUGUAGUUGCUGUAUAUUAUUCCAUAUAGAUAAGUCGGGUGCGAUCAUAUGUUGUAUGAACACCGCUCUAUAUAUUUUUCCUCCAUAGAGUCAACAAAAAUAAGUGACAGGUGCAAACUAAAUGUAUACCAGCAUACUCUGAUUGUUCUAAACACAGUAUUAAUAAUAAUGUAUUUAAGAAGGAAUCGGGAAUUACUCUUAUUAUUAUAAUUAUAAAAAGAGAAACAUU